UAAUAAUGAAAAGCUUGGUUCAUCAACUUAAAAUUUCGAAAAUAUUUACGAUAUUAAUGAAAAGGGCCAAAUGACUAAAUUAUCUUUACUUAUUUUAUAAAAAAAAUAAUUUUUUUUAUAUAUUUCUAUCAUUUUCAAAAGUAUUUUGACAGAAUCCUAACGAAGAAGGACUAAAUAUAUCAACUUAAAAUUUUGAGGCCACAAAAUAUAAAUUUUUAAAACUCAAAGAAAAUAAAAAAUGAAUAUUUACAAAAAUACUUUCUGUAUUUAAUUUAGUGAAAAAAAAUAUUUG
rnacentral:lncRNA from 1 species